AGAGCGAACGCUGGCGGCAGGCCUAACACAUGCAAGUCGAGCGCCGUAGCAAUACGGAGCGGCAGACGGGAGAGUAACACGUGGGAACGUACCCUUCAGUUCGGAACAACCCAGGGAAACUUGGGCUAAUACCGAAUACGUCCGUAAGGAGAAAGAUUUAUCGCUGAAGGAUCGGCCCGCGUCUGAUUAGCUUGUUGGUGAGGUAAUGGCUCACCAAGGCUACGAUCAGUAGCUGGUCUGAGAGGAUGAUCAGCCUCACUGGGACUGAGACACGGCCCAGACUCCUACGGGAGGCAGCAGUGGGGAAUAUUGGACAAUGGGCGCAAGCCUGAUCCAGCCAUGCCGCGUGGGUGAUGAAGGCCCUAGGGUUGUAAAGCCCUUUCGGCGGGGAAGAUAAUGACGGUACCGCAGAAGAAGCCCCGGCUAACUUCGCGCCAGCAGCCGC
rnacentral:rRNA from 1 species